GCGCCGUCGUUACUCGGUGCAACCGUCAAGUGUGGGGCCCGAGACGAGAUUCGGGCGACACGUCAACGAGGCGGACGCUUCACCGGGCGCAUUGGACUCGGAAAAAUUUUUAGGGACGGCGCGAACGCAGUCCCAGCUACCAAAAAUUACGUGCCCGAGAUAUCCGCGUAAGGGAUACUCGCAGGGGUCAACCGUACCGGAGUGCAAUGAUACGGCCUCGCCCUGGAGGAACCGCCUAUAUGAUCACGGUUAACCUCGACACCAAGUAAGUAUGAAUU